UGAAGGGGCAUUGUGCUGCUCCACGGGUUCCCCAUCAUGUCGAAGCUGCGCUCUGUGUUGUUGCUGAUGGUCGUUCUCGCAGCGGUUUGCUCUGAUCAUACAGUUGAGUGCGCGAAGCGAACACAACCCCUGCAGUGGCUUGAUCGCAAAAACGAGUGCAGCUGUAAGGUGUUGUCCAAUAAGCAGCUUUCAUGUCGAAAGACACUCCUGCCGCGGUCCAGUCAAGAGAAGAUCAAAAUGAUGGAAUGUCUUUGCAAGAAGCACAGGCAUGAGCUGCAUAGCAUACUCCGACAGGACCUGCAAAAGAUGUG